GUCAUAGAGUCUGACAGCAUGGAAGCAGACCCAUUGGUCCAGCCAGUCCAUGCUGACCAUGUUCGAAAACUAAUGUAGUCCCAUCUGCCUGCACAUUGUCUAUAUCUCUCUGAACAUUUCUCAUUUACAUAUUAUCCAAACGUCUUUUAAAUGUUGUAAACUGUACCUGUAUCCACCACUUCCUCUGGACGUUCAUUCCACGCAAGAACCACACUCUGCAAAAAAAAAAGGUUGCCCCUCAUGCCUUUUCUCAAUCUUUCACCUGUCACCUUAAAAAAAUAUGCCCCUAGUCUUGAAAUCCCCCACCCGAGGGAAAAGACAUCUGCUAUUCACCUUCUCUAUACUCCUCAAGGGCAGGACUUAAACAAUGGUAGGGCCCUGGGUAGUGUUGUACCUCGGUACCUUUGUACCUGAGAUGGUGCCACAAGUGGCAACUUGUAAACUUUUCACUGUACUCAUGUGACUACAUGUGACAAUAAAUGUUAUUCCAUUUGAUUAAAAAUAUGCUUCCCGGUCUUGAAAUCCCCACACCAGAGAAAGGACACCUGAAUUUCACAAACCUCUAUAAGGUCAACCUCAACAUGCUACAUUCCUGUGAAAGGAGUCCCAGCCCCUCCUUAUGACUCAAUCCCUCCAUUCUCAUGAACAUCCCGGUAAACCACCUUUGAACUCUCUCCAGCUUAAUAAUAUCAUUGCUACAACAGGACAACCAGAAUUGGACACAGUCCUGCAGAAGAGGCCUUGCCAAUGGCCUGUAUGAUCUCAACAUGACGUCCCAACUUCUCUACACAACAGACUGAGCAAUGAAGGGAAUUGGAAAGGAUUUACAGACAGGCAGCUCAAGUCAAAAAUUGGAUCAACAGCUGCCAGUAACACUCAAUUCUCGAGAGCUUUGAACGUGGAAGAAAAAAGCAUCGUUCACGGUGAAGAGAAACCGUACACGUGGUCUGUGUGGACAAGCCUUCAGUCAAUCGUCUGGCCUGUCGAUACCUAAAUGCAGUCAAAACAGGAUGACAACAAUGACAUCAAGCAGCACUUGCUUUGCAAUCUCACAGUGAUGGAUCUCAGUUUGAGUUAAGCAAGGGCCACUCAUCUCCUGAUCUCUUGACAUUUUUGGUGCGAACGUGGACCAAACAGCUGAAUUCCAAAUCAGAGUGUGACUUUCCUGCCAUCUUAAGGCUCUAUUUGACAGAGCAUUGUAUCAAGGAAUCAUAGCAAAACUGGAGUCAACGGGAUUCAGAGAAUAUGAUUCUCGCUUUGAUUGUGGGUUUUUGAAAAGAUUGCAUCUUCAGACCUGAGUAGAUCAAAACAAGGUGAAUUUAUUCAAGCUUGUACCACAUAUAUGCGGAAGAGGUCUCCUCGUCUCGCUUGGAGAUACUCUACCAUUUGCAGCUCAAAACAGCAUAUUGAGACAUUUUCACGUCAGGAUGGUUGUAUAUAACAUUGGCAUAAAAUAAAUUAGAUAAGUCAUUGACUACAAAAA